rnacentral:rRNA from 1 species
UAGUUUGACUGGGGCGGUCUCCUCCUAAAGAGUAACGGAGGAGCACGAAGGUUGGCUAAUCCUGGUCGGACAUCAGGAGGUUAGUGCAAUGGCAUAAGCCAGCUUGACUGCGAGCGUGACGGCGCGAGCAGGUGCGAAAGCAGGUCAUAGUGAUCCGGUGGUUCUGAAUGGAAGGGCCAUCGCUCAACGGAUAAAAGGUACUCCGGGGAUAACAGGCUGAUACCGCCCAAGAGUUCAUAUCGACGGCGGUGUUUGGCACCUCGAUGUCGGCUCAUCACAUCCUGGGGCUGAAGUAGGUCCCAAGGGUAUGGCUGUUCGCCAUUUAAAGUGGUACGCGAGCUGGGUUUAGAACGUCGUGAGACAGUUCGGUCCCUAUCUGCCGUGGGCGCUGGAGAACUGAGGGGGGCUGCUCCUAGUACGAGAGGACCGGAGUGGACGCAUCACUGGUGUUCGGGUUGUCAUGCCAAUGGCACUGCCCGGUAGCUAAAUGCGGAAGAGAUAAGUGCUGAAAGCAUCUAAGCACGAAACUUGCCCCGAGAUGAGUUCUCCCUGAGACUUAAAGUCUCCUGAAGGAACGUUGAAGACGACGACGUUGAUAGGCCGGGUGUGUAAGCGCAGCGAUGCGUUGAGCUAACCGGUACUAAUGAACCGUGAGGCUUAACCUUAC